rnacentral:rRNA from 1 species
GUGCCAGCAGCCGCGGUAAUACGUAGGUGGCAAGCGUUAUCCGGAAUUAGUGGGCGUAAAGCGCGCGUAGGCGGUUUUUUAAGUCUGAUGUGAAAGCCCACGGCUCAACCGUGGAGGGUCAUUGGAAACUGGAAAACUUGAGUGCAGAAGAGGAAAGUGGAAUUCCAUGUGUAGCGGUGAAAUGCGCAGAGAUAUGGAGGACACCAGUGGCGAAGGCGACUUUCUGGUCUGUAACUGACGCUGAUGUGCGAAAGCGUGGGGAUCAACAGGAUUAGAUA